rnacentral:ribozyme from 1 species
AUUUUUCUUGCUUCUUCUUUUUGUGGUUGUUGUUGUUGCUUUCUUUGCUCUCCUGAUUCUUUUGUGGUUCACAAUGGAUAUAAUAUAGAUGAAUGGAAGGAAGGAAUAAUGUUGCGUGUCCCCCGAGUUUGCAACACGAAGAGAUUAGGAGAUGAAUGAAUGAA